UACGUAGGGUGCGAGCGUUAAUCGGAAUUACUGGGCGUAAAGCGUGCGCAGGCGGUUCGUUGUGUCGGCGGUGAAAGCCCCGGGCUUAACCUGGGAAUGGCCGUUGAAACUGGCGAACUGGAGUGUGGCAGAGGGGGGUGGAAUUCCGCGUGUAGCAGUGAAAUGCGUAGAUAUCGUGAGGAACACCAGAGGCGAAGGCGGCUACCUGGACAAUUGCUGACGCUCAGGCACGAAAGCGUGGGGAGCAAAAGGG
rnacentral:rRNA from 1 species